rnacentral:piRNA from 1 species
UGACUUACCUGUUUUUUCCUG